UCCGAGUUAACCCCGGCAGUCUCCCGCGAGUCCCCAACACUACUUGCUGGCAACACGGGAUAAGGGUUGCGCUCGUUGCGGGACUUAACCCAACAUCUCACGACACGAGCUGACGACAGCCAUGCACCACCUGUACACCAGUGUCCAAAGAGACCCACAUCUCUGCAGGCUUCUGGUGUAUGUCAAACCCAGGUAAGGUUCUUCGCGUUGCGUCGAAUUAAUCCGCAUGCUCCGCCGCUUGUGCGGGCCCCCGUCAAUUCCUUUGAGUUUCAUUCUUGCGAACGUACUCCCCAGGUGGCAUGCUUACUGCGUUAACUGCGUCACUGCCCCCGAAGAGGCAACAACUAGCAUGCAUCGUUUACAGCGUGGACUAC
rnacentral:misc_RNA from 1 species